CACCCAGUUCAACUAAUCAAAGAGUUUGAGAACUUUCAUUUUCGAAUCUCAUGUCCGAGUUCAGAGAAUCCGUAAAUUCACAUGGUAUACUCAGACAAAUUGACUGUAACAAAGCACUAAUGCUACUCGUAUUAAUUGCCCUUUUGAAAGUCAGGAUAUAUGGGUGACCAGAUAUAUACUCAAGGCUGAAGAAAAUGUUGUAUACACUGAACCGAAUAUCACGAAAUUCCAAACUUUUGCUUAGAAGGCUCAUCUGAGUCAGGGUAUGGGAUCUUGACGUUGUUUCUUCAUCGGGGAUGAAGUGGUGAUCGUUUUUCGGUUGUCCGGUGAUGCUUGUGGGAGGCAAGCUUUCUGAGUCUCUUCAGAUCUCUAUCCUCGCCUACUGAUUUUUGUGUGGUUUGUGUUCCACUCUCUUUCGCCCCUGGUUUCCUUUCAGCAAGGAUGGGCUUGGAGAGUUUGCUGGCUCCUAGUGGAGCUUAACUUCUGGAUCCUUGUGGAGUGACAGUUUUUGUCUAUUUGCUAUAUCUCAUGCGACAUUUCAAUGACAUUUUAGUUUUUUUCCCUCUGUUUAAAUUGAGUUGUUUUCAAGCUGCUAUACUGUGAAUAAAAGAAGAACCAGUUUCAAU